AUUGAACGCUGGCGGCAUGCCUUACACAUGCAAGUCGAACGGCAGCGGACCUUCGGGUGCCGGCGAGUGGCGAACGGGUGAGUAAUACAUCGGAACGUACCUUUCAGUGGGGGAUAACGUAGCGAAAGUUACGCUAAUACCGCAUAUUCUGUGAGCAGGAAAGCAGGGGAUCGCAAGACCUUGCGCUGAUUGAGCGGCCGAUAUCAGAUUAGCUAGUUGGUGAGGUAAAGGCUCACCAAGGCGACGAUCUGUAGCGGGUCUGAGAGGAUGAUCCGCCACACUGGAACUGAGACACGGUCCAGACUCCUACGGGAGGCAGCAGUGGGGAAUUUUGGACAAUGGGCGCAAGCCUGAUCCAGCCAUGCCGCGUGAGUGAAGAAGGCCUCGGUUGUAAG
rnacentral:rRNA from 1 species